UAUGCUGUAGGGCGCCCAACUGUGGUGAACUACGGUACUGCGCAUGCUCGGGUUUUGUACCUGGUGCCAGUUGGCCAGACGUUAAUAUGCUAAUGAGGGAUUCAUGCUCUGCCAAUCCCUGAAGGACAAUUAGCAUAGCCUCAGCCUCCUGUGUAUAUAAGCCAAGGUGGGCGCGACAACUGGUGGGCCGUACCAGGACCCGAGGACAUCCUCAUGGAUUCAGAACUCUCCAAAUCCAGGACGGCGACGUCGGAAAGUUCCCAGGUAAGUGACAAUAAAGUUCCCAGGUAAGGGACAAUAAAGUUCCCAGGUAAGGGACAAUAAGGUUCCCGGUUUUGGGACGAGGGUUAAGUUCUCGGAUUGAGACAAUAAGGUUCCCGGUUUGGGACAAGGGUUAAGUUCUCGGAUUGAGACAAUAAAGUUCCCGGUUUUGGGACGAGUCGCAGCGGCCAUAUCCCUUACCUCUGUAGUACAGACUGCGGCAGCUGUAAGUAAUAUAUCCACAGCUGCAAGUAAUCUAUCCGCAGGUGUUGCAGAAGCUUUAGAUGUUCAGGGUAAUAUUAAUAGUCAGUUGAAAACAGGAAUUUUGCUUCUGUAUCAAAAGGUCGAUUUGCUCCAGGAACAAGCAGAUAUUAUGAUGGGUGUGACUCUGAGUUUUAUGGUUAUAUUAUUACUCUGGGAGAGAGUACAAGGUACAAGGUUUUCUGGUUUCAGACUAAGGAACACAGUAUUUUGGGAGAAAGAUUUUGUCUUUGUGUUUUUAAAAGGUGUGAUUAGGCUCUGGAAACCUCACAGAGUCAUACUGAUCAGAUUUGAUAGAGGUAGACCGCCUGAAAAAUUUAUUCAGGAGAAUCAAACAAAAAGAUAUCUCGAUUCUAAACUUUUGUCUUGAGAAUUGUACAGAGUGUGCCUACUUGGAUUCCUGGUCUCAAUGACUUUCAGCUGGGACCAGUCAGGACACAUCAGCUACAGCAUUCAUUUCAUUUUUCCUACCCCCUACCCCCAAGGACAUCUCAAUGCCCAUAUACAGAUUGAUGGAGUUAAUGUAAUUGGGUUGUGAGUGGAAAUAUUCAGGACUGUGUUUCACUUCCAUACCAUUUGUGAAUGUCAGUCGUGCUGCUCACUUAUGCCGUAAUAGAUCUCAGUAUCUUACAGGAAUUUGGUCUCAACACGUUGAUGGACUAGUCCAGGAAUUGAGACAAUCCAUCAUCCAUAUCAACUCCACUCGAGUGGAUGGUCACCGUGGAAGUGGUGGGUAAGGGGAAAUCCUACCUCUCUGCUGACUCCUAUUGGAAUCUGGGUCCCUUCGGUGGGACACCAUCUAGUUUUUCCCCUCUAUGUCUAUUGUCUGUCCUUGGUGCACCAAACUGUCCAUGUCUGUCAGUUUAUGUCUGUGGUUUUUGUUUCUCGUUGCUUAAAUGUUUUAUGUUUCAUGUUCAAAAGAGAAAAUGAUAAAAACUUUAUCUGCUGGUCGUUCACACCAUGAUUUGAUUUUAACUCGUUUCAAAAAAGGAACAAAUGAAUAAAAAGCAGUUUCAAUCGGCCCUUGGAGCCUUGCACCUGUAGUAGGAGCCUAGGUCAGCUGGAGAAGCUGCCCGGGGAUGAGCGUCUGCAUGAGCUGAUUAUUAGAUUUAGCAGGUGACAAGGUGCUUCUCUUAAAAUCACAGCUAGAAAAGUCAUAAUGGUGUUUGGUCUAAAUAUUGAAGAUAUGUGUAGCCACUUCAAUUUUGUUUCUGAUUGGUUUUAAAUGUAUAAAUAUUCUCUACAUGCCUUGGUUAUGGACUAUUGGUUUUUAAGUUAUUGGAUAUGGUUUAAAAAAAUGUAACAUUGGUAACAGAAAGUUGACAUAAAACUGGUAAAUUUGGAUGGAGUCAUUCUAGACAACAUGUGGCAUGAGCCAAUCUAGGGAAACAGGUCUAAAUUGGGAUGAUGAGGCUGAUCUCGAGGAAGAGGCUGCUCAAUGUGAGAGGGAGAGAUAUGAUCCAGACUGGACACACGCUAGUGCCAUGUGGCAAUGAGGCAGACAAUUAGGCAAGAAAGCGGUUAUACCAACAGCACCUCCGUAUAACCCUCAAUAUAAAAGCAUGGUGAAGCCUACAAAAGCUACUUCCUUUUGCCCAGAGGUGUGGAAAGAGAUGGGAUUAAGUUUUCCAGUGUUUCUGGAUGCUAACGGGCAUCGAUAUCAUGAACCCGUUGACUUUAAGACUAUAAAGCAAUUGGCAGAAUCAGUCAGAUGCUGCAGUUUUGAUGGAAAGUUUGACAAUCAUUAUCCUAAGGAUCCUUUGCUACAAUUUUUCAUUGAACAGCCAGUGAUUUUUCCUAAGGUCACUGCUUCAGAGCCUUUGUCUAGAGCUUUAAAUAUUUAUACAGAUGGCUCCAAAACAGGUGUAGGUGCCUAUAUGGUUGAUUCUCAAGAACCAGUCUUAAUACAGUCCAGGUACCCCCCAAAUUACAGAAUGUAAAAUUGUAUUGGAAGUUUUUAAAAAGAUUUCAUGAUUCUUUUAAUUUAAUUUCUGACUCUGCUUAUGUAGUUAAUGCUGUGUGCUCACUUGAAAUUGCAGGGCCAAUUCGGUCGAGUAGUACUGUAUGUCAGAUUCUUUUAGAAUUACAAAAUUUGAAUUGGGCCAGAAAAAAUAAAUUUUUCACACAACAUAUUCGAGCCCAUACUAAUUUGCCUGGUCCCAUGACCAGUAAUAACGCCCUGGUGGAUGCUAGUACUCAUAGAGAGUCUAUUUUUCAUGCAGCUUCGGUUGAUCUCGCUAGAGAAUUUCAUCAAAAGUUUCAUGUUCCUGCCUUUACUCUUCAACAAAAAUUUAAAAUCUCUAGAGCUGCAGCUCAUGAUGUGGUGUUACGUUGCCAGAAUUGUGUUCAAUUUCACCACCCUCCUCAGGUGGGAAUUAACCCUCGUGGUCUGAUUCCACUAAAAAUUUGGUAGAUGGAUGUCACACACAUAUCUCAAUUUGGAAAUUUAAAAUAUGCUCAAGUUUCUGUUGAUACCUGUUCCGGUAUUAUACAUGCCACUCUGAUGACUGGUGAAAAGGCUCAUAAUGCCAUUAGUCAUUGUUUAGAGGCGUGGACAGCCUGGGGAAAGCCUGAUAGUCUCAAGACAGACAACGGGCCUGCCUACACAGCAAAGUCCUUUCAGGCAUUUUGCCAGACAAUGCAGGUCGAGCAUACUACUGGAUUACCAUACAAUCCCCAGGGUCAAGGUAUUGUGGAAAGAGCACACCACACCUUAAAGGGACUGCUACAAAAACAAAAAGGGGGAAUUGCCUAUGGCAGAACACCAAGAGAACAGUUGUCAUUAGCACUUUUUACUUUGAAUUUCUUAAUUUUGGCUCGCCAUGCUGCUACUACACCUAUGACUAAUGCAGAAGUAAAGUGGAAGGAUGUCUUAACUGAUGAAUGGCGUGGCCCGGAUCCCAUGAUUUCAAGAUCUAGGGGAGCUGUUUGUGUUUUUCCGCAGAAUCAAGAAAAUCCAAUUUGGGUACCUGAGCACUUGACUCGAAAAUUGCCCUCUGCUCUUCCUGAAGAUGAGACUACGAACCCUACUAUUACUACGGGGAAUGGUAAUACAGGUUGAUUCGCUCACCCUGUGGGCUAUUGCCAGAUCCUGGCCAGUACCCAUGCCAAUUCAUAGCAAUUCUACUGUUUUGCCAACCUUUUACUCUACCUCCUGUUUGUGUGAUGUUCCAUGUAUAGUGCCAAAUGGAGAAAUGCCCCAACGGUAUGCCGCCACUAACUUUUCUCUGUCGCAUACCUUAUGUUUUACUGUUAAGAACUCUUCCCUGCCCUGCGUUUGGUUGCAGAGAACCACAUUUCAAUAUUCAAUAUAAUAUAAGCUCUAAUGUGAGCAAUGUACCCAUUUGGCAUCUGGCUUUCUAUUAGCUAAUCAAAGGAUAGAUUUAGUUCAAGAACAAAUUGAAGCACUGUAUCAUAUGACGCAGCUGUCCUGCGUUUCCUCCCUUAGAGGUUUAUGCUUUACUCUUUUGCAAGCUAACUUUUCUCAGCAUUCUCCACAGAGCAAAGAAAUUUCGAAUUAUCUGAAAGGGAACUGGUCCAUGAAAGCAGAGCAACUAUCAAGACAAUUGCUGAUGCAGAUUGCUGUCCUUAACAGCACUAGGAUGGACCCCAUCACAGUUGAAGAGUUUACCUCAUGGAUCACCAACACCUUCUCCUUUUUUAAGGAGUAGGCUGUCAUGUUUGCCUGGGGAGCUAUUGUCCUCCUGGGAUGCGGAGUAGGUCUCUGGCUUAUUGGCCAUUUAAAAAGAGAACAUGCCACAAAGUGGUUGUUUACCAGGCUAUGACCGCCAUUAAAAAGGGUGCUUCUCCUAACAUAUGGCUGGCCUCUUUGAAAGAUUAAGAGUUCGCCCUAGAUCAUUUUUGUCACUGUCAUGUGGAGUCAUUGUAUCCAGAGACGGGCAACUUUCCUCGAGCUCUGACCAACCUAAGACAUGGGGCCCAGUAGCAAUAGGGUAACUCUAUGACGGGUAAGGCCGAGUUUGGAUGAGAACGACCUAAGACAGGAGCAAUGACAAGAUUGACAUGACCCCCAAAUCUAGACCAGUCAUUUUAUUAAACAAAAAAGGGGGAGAUGUAGGGCGCCCUCCUGUGGUGAACAAUGGUACUGCGCAUGCAGGCUUUGCACCUGGCAUCAGUUGGCUGGUAAUAUGCUAAUGAGGGAGCAGUACCAUGCUAAUGAGGUGAUUCAUGCUCCGCCAAUCCCUGAAGGGCAAUUAGCAUAGCCUCAGCCUGUUGUCUAUAUAAGGCAAGUGCUUUUGCUACUUGAGGUCCCCGUAUCAGUAAAGAGGUGGUCCUGCAAUAAAGGCUGUUAAGAAGAA